CGCGGAGUGGAGCAGUUGGCAGCUUGUCGGGCUCAUAACCCGAAGGUCGUAGGUUCAAGUCCUGCCUCCGCAACCA
rnacentral:tRNA from 1 species